rnacentral:rRNA from 1 species
AUUGAACGCUGGCGGCAUGCCUUACACAUGCAAGUCGAACGGCAGCACGGGUGCUUGCACCUGGUGGCGAGUGGCGAACGGGUGAGUAAUACAUCGGAACAUGACCUGUAGUGGGGGAUAGCCCGGCGAAAGCCGGAUUAAUACCGCAUACGAUCCACGGAUGAAAGCGGGGGACCUUCGGGCCUCGCGCUAUAGGGUUGGCCGAUGGCUGAUUAGCUAGUUGGUGGGGUAAAGGCCUACCAAGGCGACGAUCAGUAGCUGGUCUGAGAGGACGACCAGCCACACUGGGACUGAGACACGGCCCAGACUCCUACGGGAGGCAGCAGUGGGGAAUUUUGGACAAUGGGCGAAAGCCUGAUCCAGCAAUGCCGCGUGUGUGAAGAAGGCCUUCGGGUUGUAAAGCACUUUUGUCCGGAAAGAAAUCCUUGGCUCUAAUACAGUCGGGGGAUGACGGUACCGGAAGAAUAAGCACCGGCUAACUACGUG